UACAGAGGGUGCAAGCGUUGUUCGGAUUUACUGGGCGUAAAGCGUGCGCAGGCGGUUCGUUAAGUCAGAUGUGAAAGCCCCGGGCUCAACCUGGGAACUGCAUUUGAAACUGGCGGGCUUGAGUAUGGCAGAGGGGGGUGGAAUUCCGCGUGUAGCAGUGAAAUGCGUAGAGAUGCGGAGGAACACCGAUGGCGAAGGCAGCCCCCUGGGCCAAUACUGACGCUCAGGCACGAAAGCGUGGGGAGCAAACAGG
rnacentral:rRNA from 1 species